rnacentral:snRNA from 1 species
ACUCAUACCUUGUAGGGGAAAUACCAUUGUCAUGAAAGUGGUUUUCCCAGGGUGAAGCUCAUCCAUUGCACUUCGGGUGUGCUCAUCCCUGUGAUUUCCCCAAAUGUGGGGAACUCGGCUGCAUAACUUGUGGUAGUGGGGGAUUGCAUUUGUGCUUUCCCUGG